rnacentral:ncRNA from 1 species
CAAAAGUUUGGUCCUGACUUUUCUAUCAGCUCUAGCUAAACUUACACAUGCAAGUAUCCGCACCCCCGUGAGAAUGCCCUACAGUUCCCCACUUGGGAACAAGGAGCUGGUAUCAGGCACAAAUCAUUUAGCCCAUGACACCUUGCUCAGCCACACCCUCAAGGGAAUUCAGCAGUGAUAAAUAUUAAGCAAUAAGUGAAAACUUGACUUAGUUAAAGCUAAGAAGGCCGGUAAAACUCGUGCCAGCCACCGCGGUUAGACGAGAGGCCUAAGUUGAUAGUCUCCGGCGUAAAGAGUGGUUAGGGAGACCCUUAAACUAAAGCCGAAUAUUCUCACAGCUGUCAUACGCACCCGAGAAUAAGAAGUCCCACCACGAAAGUGGCUUUAACCCACCCGACCCCACGAAAGCUGUGGAACAAACUGGGAUUAGAUACCCCACUAUGCACAGCCCUAAACUUUGAUAGAAACAUUACAUCCACUAUCCGCCAGGGUACUACGAGCUCUAGCUUAAAAUCCAAAGGACUUGGCGGUGCUUUAGACCCACCUAGAGGAGCCUGUUCUAGAACCGACAACCCCCGUUCAACCUCACCCUCCCUUGUCCAUUCCGCCUAUAUACCGCCGUCGUCAGCUUACCCCAUGAAGGAUUCAUAGUAAGCAAAACCAGUAUAACUUAAAACGCCAGGUCGAGGUGUAGCGCAUGAGAGGGGAAGAAAUGGGCUACAUUCCCUAAACCAGGGCAUACGGAAAAUACAAUGAAAUACGUAUUAGAAGGAGGAUUUAGCAGUAAGCAGAAAACAGAGUGUUCUACUGAAACUGGCCCUGAAGCGCGCACACACCGCCCGUCACUCUCCCCAAACAAAUAAUUUAAAUAAUUAAUAAGCCAAACAAACAAAGGGGAGGCAAGUCGUAACAUGGUAAGUGUACCGGAAGGUGCACUUGGUCAAC